rnacentral:rRNA from 1 species
GACGAACGCUGGCGGCGUGCUUAACACAUGCAAGUCGUACGGUAAGGCCCUUUCGGGGGUACACGAGUGGCGAACGGGUGAGUAACACGUGAGUAACCUGCCCACAACUUUGGGAUAACGCUAGGAAACUGGUGCUAAUACUGGAUAUGUGCUCCUGCUGCAUGGUGGGGGUUGGAAAGCUCCGGCGGUUGUGGAUGGACUCGCGGCCUAUCAGCUUGUUGGUGGGGUAGUGGCCUACCAAGGCGGCGACGGGUAGCCGGCCUGAGAGGGUGACCGGUCACAUUGGGACUGAGAUACGGCCCAGACUCCUACGGGAGGCAGCAGUGGGGAAGAUUGCACAAUGGGCGCAAGCCUGAUGCAGCAACGCCGCGUGCGGGAUGACGGCCUUCGGGUUGUAAACCGCUUUCAGCAGGGACGAAGCUUUUUGUGACGGUACCUGCAGAAGAAGCACCGGCUAACUACGUG